rnacentral:rRNA from 1 species
UGAGGAAUAUUGGACAAUGGGUGAGAGCCUGAUCCAGCCAUCCCGCGUGAAGGAUGACGGUCCUAUGGAUUGUAAACUUCUUUUGUAUAGGGAUAAACCUACUCUCGUGAGAGUAGCUGAAGGUACUAUACGAAUAAGCACCGGCUAACUCCGUGCCAGCAGCCGCGGUAAUACGGAGGGUGCAAGCGUUAUCCGGAUUUAUUGGGUUUAAAGGGUCCGUAGGCGGACCGAUAAGUCAGUGGUGAAAUCUCAUAGCUUAACUAUGAAACUGCCGUUGAUACUGUCGGUCUUGAGUAAAUUUGAAGUGGCUGGAAUAAGUAGUGUAGCGGUGAAAUGCAUAGAUAUUACUUAGAACACCAAUUGCGAAGGCAGGUCACUAAGAUUUAACUGACGCUGAGGGACGAAAGCGUGGGGAGCGAACAG